rnacentral:rRNA from 1 species
GACGAACCGUGCGAACGUUGUUCGGAUUCACUGGGCUUAAAGGGCGCGUAGGCGGCUUGCCAAGUCAGGGGUGAAAUCGUUCGGCUCAACCGGACAAGUGCUUCUGAUACGGGCAGGCUGGAGUUCGGUAGGGGAGACUGGAAUUCCUGGUGUAGCGGUGAAAUGCGCAGAUAUCAGGAGGAACACCGGUGGCGAAGGCGGGUCUCUGGGCCGAUACUGACGCUGAGGAGCGAAAGCGUGGGGAGCGAACAGG